rnacentral:rRNA from 1 species
AUUGAACGCUGGCGGCAUGCCUUACACAUGCAAGUCGAACGGCAGCACGGGUGCUUGCACCUGGUGGCGAGUGGCGAACGGGUGAGUAAUACAUCGGAACGUACCUUAUCGUGGGGGAUAACGCAGCGAAAGCUGUGCUAAUACCGCAUACGCCCUGAGGGGGAAAGCGGGGGAUCGCAAGACCUCGCGCGAUUAGAGCGGCCGAUGCCUGAUUAGCUUGUUGGUGGGGUAAAAGCCCACCAAGGCGGCGAUCAGUAGCUGGUCUGAGAGGACGAUCAGCCACACUGGGACUGAGAAACGGCCCAGACUCCUACGGGAGGCAGCAGUGGGGAAUUUUGGACAAUGGGGGCAACCCUGAUCCAGCAAUGCCGCGUGAGUGAAGAAGGCCUUCGGGUUGUAAAGCUCUUUUGUCAGGGAAGAAACACCGGCUCUAACACAGUCCGGGAGUGACGGUACCUGAAGAAUAAGCACCGGCUAACUACGUGCCAGCCGCCGCCGUAA